UUUUAUGGAGAGUUUGAUCCUGGCUCAGAGUGAACGCUGGCGGCGUGCCUAAUACAUGCAAGUCGAACGAUGAAGCUUCUAGCUUGCUAGAAGUGGAUUAGUGGCGCACGGGUGAGUAAGGUAUAGUUAAUCUGCCCUACACAAGAGGACAACAGUUGG
rnacentral:rRNA from 1 species